ensembl:miRNA MIR9786-2 microRNA mir-9786-1
CGCGCAUCUAGGGCACCCUAAGAGUUUAGGAUGUAGACAGGCAGGGAUAGGAAGUGUAAGAAUUCUAGGUCGGAGGGUCAUCAUGAGC